AAACCCGGGUGGGGUGGCGGGGCGGCGGGGUGACGGGGCACGAGGCCGGGAUUCCACCGCAGGACUCCGAAGAGGUGCGCCUAUGCUUGGCUGGGGCUGAGGUCACCAAGAGUCCUCUCGGAGGGACGUUACUACACGCGCUGGCGAGGCCCAGGAGUCGUGGUGCGAGGGGUACUAUCUGUGAAACGAGGGCUGCCUGUCCCAGCAGCCAGCUUUGUACAGAGACGUCCCGGAGCCACGAGAGAGUAACGGCUAACCCGGGGGAGGGGGUGGCGAGGGUGAUUC
rnacentral:lncRNA from 1 species